UACAGAGGUCUCAAGCGUUGUUCGGAUUCAUUGGGCGUAAAGGGUGCGUAGGCGGCGCGGUAAGUCGGGUGUGAAAUCUCGGAGCUUAACUCCGAAACUGCAUUCGAUACUGCCGUGCUUGAGGACUGGAGAGGAGACUGGAAUUCCCGGUGUAGUGGUGAAAUGCGUAGAUAUCGGGAGGAACACCAGUGGCGAAGGCGACUUCCUGGCCUGUUCUUGACGCUGAGGCGCGAAAGCUAGGGGAGCAAACGGG
rnacentral:rRNA from 1 species